GGGGAGAGGAGAGUUGGUCUGGGGAGCUAUGGAGGAGCAUUAGACUCAAUAUGUGUUGCAGGCAAUUGAGUAGAAACUACAAUAAACCUAAAACUUAUUGUCUGUAUGGGAAAAGGGGACAUUUUAUGAACACAUAAACAUGCCUUCUGUAAAAGAAGGUCAGUAAUAAUAAAGUCAGGGGCAGUGGGGAAAUCUGUCAGAAAAUGAGAGCAGCAGUAGAAUUUGAAGUGUUCAUCUCUUUGGAGCUUCAAGAAGUCCUUAGGAACACUUGUGUGGUGAACAUAAUGGAAAAAGAAGAGUGAAGGGACAAGGCUAGAGAUCACACCACAGGCUUUGCUGACUCAGGUGUAUUUUCACUUCUGCGCUGCCACGCAUGAAAAUAUGAACAAAUACUCUGAGGAGCAGUGAAAUCCUGUAAUGGGAUCUGACAGCUCUGGGCUUCUGGGAAGUUCCCAAACCUGAAAUAAACUGAAUGCUUUUAACAUUCAACAGAGUUGGUUUCAACAGCUGUAGAAACUCUUGAACUUGCUCCAUGUAACAUUUUUGUGUGCAAACAAAUGUCAGCCGGUGCUAUAGGGCAUAUUUUAGAGGAGCUCAGGACCAGAUUUCCAGGCAGUAAAAGUAAUUAUGGCUGAUCAAGUUUUGGAAUAUACAGGGAAAAUAAAAAUAUUUAUUUAAGAAACUGAAAAUAUUUUAAAUCUCUGCUCAGCUCUUGCUUGCCAUAGGCACUUUAUUUCAAACAAUCUUUUCUACUGUUUUGCAUCCCACAGCAAUAGGCUGGCUUUUCUAGUCUCCUUCAGGAAAAAAGAAAAGAAAAGAAAACAAAAUAAAACAAGUGAAUCAGAGCACAGCUUCUACCAUCAAACUCAAAUUUACACACACACUUUUCCUCGUGUCUAGAAACAUGUAUCGUAUGACUAAAUCUCUUAUGUACAUGUAUUUAAAUGCAGAUAAAUUGUCAUGUCAUUUGUGUCAGGGUAUACAUACAGUGUGUCUGUAUACCUUUUCUUAACCACAUGGAUUUGCUUUAUUUAGAAGAAUUCUUCCAUAGAAGUAUCUCCAUCAAAUGUUAAGCUGUCUGUGAAAGACUGGGCUAAAAAAAAAAAAAAAGAUACAGCGUGCUCCAAAGUACAGCUUGUCACGCACAUCUUGAAAUUCUUAUUUAAGACUGGAUAGUGAAAUAUCAACAUCUAUUUACAGUAACUCGCUACGGUUCUGAAAAAGGAUCAGCCACUAAUGGGAUGAUCCUUUGAUGUGUGUCUGUAUGGGAACUGUUGAAUCACAGCUGAACCUCUGAUUGACCACCUGAGGCAAGCUCUGAGUCAGCCAUGGGAGCACAGGUGAAGGCAAUUGACCUGUGUGACAGAAAGGGGUGGAGCCUGGCUCCACCUCUCCGAGACCCCAUUUAAGGGCUGACUGCCACAGAGGAGAGGUCUCUUUCUUUGGAGAUUGCUCCUCUUGGAGUCUUUUUGGCAAGCCCAGGACAUAGAUGGAAAUCCCCCUGCACUUAAUCCCAACACAGCUCCCAAGGGGAGCCUGCGAUACUAGCAGUUCUGUAGAACUAACAACAGCACAUCAAAGUUCCUGCAUGGUGAAUGUAAGCAGAGGAAGCCUGGGGCUUCCUUCACUGGAUUUUUUUCUUGCCACACCUCAUUAAGAUAAAGGCACAAUAGCUUUUAAGCUUUAAAAUCUAAUACUUUCAUUAUUAGGCCUGGUAGAAAUGUAACUGCCUGGCAGAAGGGAGAGGCAGUCCUGGUGUCAUGCUGUAGUUGAAAUGGAUUCUCUGGAAUUAUAUUAGCAAGAGUACCAAGCUGGUAAUUCCUCUGGGACCAAUUUUAGUGGGACCAUUGCUGUUUUGUUAUUGUUUCUUCAAUGGAUAUUGCUUGUACUGAGUAAUUUCAGUUUCAGGUUCAAGAAAGAGCUACAAAUGUGACAGAAGCCGAAGGAAGGUAGCUGUGCUGUGCUCCUUGCAUGCUAGUGUUUGGCUGAGAUGUCUUAAAGACAAAAGGCAGCAGAGGUCAAGUAAGUUCCAACUAAGGCUCGUCAACUGAUUUAUAGCAAUUAUGUGCUCAGUUUCUCAUACCAUUAAGUCAUGCAAUGAACAUAAAUUGAGUUACGGAGCUGUUAUUGGAGACUGACGUCUCACUACCCCGUAUGGAGGGCAUUUUAGGACUUUUUUUCCUUGCACUCUGCAUAUUCACUGUCCUCUGUAGAGUUAAAGAUGAUCUGGCUACAGCUUCUGUAGGCCUUUGCUUAAUGGGGGAUUUGGACCUACACUGAAAUUUCAGCAGCUCAAUGCAAAAUGUGACAUAGUCCUCCCCCUGUCCUGAGUGCCUGGUGCUGGCAGUAUAUUAUCAUGGACUGCCUUUUGACCCUACCAGCCCCACAUGUGCUGGCUGGACAUUAAGAGCACAUAACUUCCAGGGAAGAAAAGGAAAUACGUCCAUGAGUACAUCCCCCUCAGGUCAGUUCUUCAUAACAAUGCUCUCUGAAUUUGUUUCUCUGUUUGAUAGGCCUAACCAGCUGGGAGUAACAAAGCUACAAAAACUCUUGAACUCUCUUGCACAAGCAGCUUGCAGGCCUGAAAUAACUGCCUUUGGAGCAGUCCAAGGUGAAGGCAAGCCAGAAGCAGCAAAAGCUGCUCUAGCUUUAACUUAGCUUUGGGUAUUGUUCUGUGCUUCCUGAGGCCUUGUUUUUUUUUCCACAGAACAAUUUGAGGAACUAGGGGUGUGUUCCUCAUAGCAAGAGGCAUUGUGUCCUGCCUGGUCAGUGCCAUCAGGAGGCUGAGGAGAGGCAGCUCGUAUGAUUUUUUUUUUUUUGCUGUUGGUGCCCUCCAGAUGAAGCACCUGGAGCUGCUGAGGGGCAUCCCUGCCUGUGCCCUCAGCCAGGCCAGUGCUUACCUCUAGAAGGGGUGGAUCAGGCCUUGUAACCCUAUGAUCCCAUGCUGUCUCAGCAGCACAGGUUGGAAUGCGAAAUAUGGGAAGGAUCUACGGAUGUUUCUGAGAAUUCACAGAGGAAAUGCAGUCCAAAGCCACUGAAAGGUGGGGAGCUGUAAUGGCUCAAUUCCACACCUUCUUCCUGAGCCAGCACACAGUGUAGCAUGGUGCUCACCAAGGGGCUGCAUGUCCUGAGAGCCAACCCAGUGGGUCAGCUUCCACUCUGACUUUAUUUUAGAAGUCCAUCACCCUUUGGCAUGCACCACUUGUUAGCUGUUUGCUUAGGUAUUUUUCUAAUGCCCUCUUGACUCUUUCACCCAGGCUCAGUAAUUUCACUCCUGUCUUUGUUUCAUUGUCUUGCUGGCUAUAAUGUAUAGAUUCUCACUUAAAAGCUCAGCAACAAUUUUUCUUACUGAAGCCAAGACAAGAUUACACAUCUGCACAUCACAAAACCAAGCCCUGGUCAUGGGGCUCUGUGUUACAGUUCCUUCCUUGGUGGCUGGGUAUCUUCAAUACUGAGCCAUUGUUAUGCCUGGUAUUAGAGUCUAGCUGCCAUCAGUGGGGUUCAGCAACUUCUUUUUGGAAUGCUUACCCUAAAGACAAUCUUGUUCUGCUGCGAGAGUUUGCUUAAGGGAUGAUGAACUGUCCUAGCGUACCAAUGCAUUCACUCUUAGCAUCUUGUACUGUGGCUGUAGCUAACAGCACUUGUACUUUGAGGAAAAACUGCUUCUGUGUUUUAAAUUCCUCUGCCAUCAUUGGCAUUGAGUGCAAGGUAAUUCUAUCAAAGUGUUCCUGCAUUAGAAAAUAGCAACACCUGCUGCCCUUUUUUUUUUUUAUUUGAAGAAACUAUUGAGCAAGUUCACUUACUUGAAAUUGUGCGUGCCUAGCUUUCUGGAAGCCAGCACAGCUCCAUCUUAAUUCAUUCAACAAAUUUCCUACUCUCAUCUAAACAUAAUGAUAUUACUAAACAUUUUCCACUGACCUUAGACUACUGUUUAUUUUAUUUAGGGAGACUGAAGCUGAAUGAUGUUACCACAACCAGCUAAGUGAUUUUCUGUUUGUGAUCAUUUCUUAUGUAUUAUAUUGUUUCUCUCUCUUCUGUAAUGCAGACAGACUUUACAUUUCUUUCUGUAUAACUUCAGUGAGAGUGAUCGGAUCUACAGCCACAUUCUAUGCAGUAUUUUGGGGAAUCAAAUGAUAUAGAAAUGGUUAUACUGUUUCUCUUAUUUUCUUUGUAGAAAUUUGCUACUAUCAUUCUUUCCUGUGAAUUGAUUUAAAACUCUUGUAGGUAUUUUUGUCAUUCCUUCUUUUAUUCCAGGAGAAAACUUGGAGAGGCCACCUCAUCUUGUGCUGCAUGUGGGUCUCAUUCCUAACAAUCCCACAUUUGUUGGGAAGGAUCAGUCAGGAUCACAGAACAGGCAGUGCCUCCUUCUCUUUUAGAAGAGGUUUGGAGAACUCCCAACAUGACAAGGAGGAGCUUCUCCCUACACCUGGGGAUAUGGCAGCUGCAGUGCUGUUAGAGCCUAUAGUUCCUUUUUCCUGCAUGGUGGGAGCACAUGAUCUCAUUGCCAGCUUUCCCAGGGGCCAUUCUGUUUGGGAUUAUUGUGAACUGACAGAACAUUGAAAUCCUACACUGACUCUUAUUCCUAUUUCUAGAGAUACACCUGUGCAGUAGUGCAGCUUCUUCCUGCAGCCCAGAGCCGAGCUCAUUGCAUACCUGCCCUCUAGAGAGAGCAGCCUGCUUGUGCUAGCAAGGAGUGAGCUCUGGCACACAGGCACUCCAUGAUCACCCUUCCCAUACACCAGUGAAUGCCUGAGUGCUUGAGGUCACCAUGCUUCUUGUUUGCACUUUCUUGUAACACACUGGGCAGAACCAAAUCCUCACUCUGUGUCUCUACUUUGAUUGCUCACUGCCCUCUUCUCUCCUUGAGCUUAGCAAGAGUAUUUGCUAAUAGACCAUCCACUUGCACAUUCUUUCCCACCAUUUUCUGCUUAUUUACGGAUCUAGCUAGCUUUAUUUGUUAAACCUGCUAACUGCCAAGACACAAGAUGUAUCAACUAAAUCUUACAAGGGAAACAA